AAUCAUUUGGAUCCCUCCAGGUCAGAGAAGCAUCAUGGCCUGUGCCGAUGUUGACAUGGAUAUCCAAAGAACUGAUGAGGAGCCGCACAGAGCCGACAGUGGAGAGCCGACCAUGGUGCGGCGAUAUCAAGCGACAGAGGUCUUGCCAGAUGACAAAGGGCCCUUGCAUGACCUCCUACAGAAGCAACCUUCUGUGUUGGGGUCUCUGCAGAUGGUGAGCGGUUUCCUCAGUGUCGGAGUGGGUAUUUUAUGUGCUGUUACCCAGCAGAUGGACCAGUCCCUUUUCACUCUGUUCAGAGUUUCCCACUUCACCGGAGUGCUUUUCAUCAUUGCUGGAGUAGUUUCCAACCUGCUGUUCAAAUACCCACGAUUACUACCUCUGUCGUUUGCAGUAAACUGUGGCUGUAUCAUUGUGACCGUAGCUGCAGCCUGUCUGAUAGGCGUUGACCUGGCUUACGGGAAUCCAGUGGAUGAACCGUAUUGGAGGAUAGAGGUGCUGGCACUUUGUGUGAUGGGGCUUGAGGUUUUCCUCUCUGCAAUUCUCUGCUUCUGGUUCUCUAAAGAGAAACGUGACAAAGCACCAUGA
rnacentral:lncRNA from 1 species